UCUAAAGAAAUAUCUUUAUUAUUUAAUUUUAAUUAAAAUUAUAUUAUUGAGAUUAAUAUUAAUUUUAAGUUUUAAUAUUUAAUUAGAAAUAAUUAUUUAAAUUAAUAAAAAGUAAUGUAAAUGAUAAAUUUUCAAAAUAAUUAAAAGUAAUUUUAUUUUAAUGUACCUUUUGUAUCAGGAUUUUUUAAAUAUUAAUUUUUUUAUCUUAAAAUUUUUCGAAUAAAAAAGAGUUAAAUAAUUAUAAAAUUUAAUGUAUAAUGAUUAUUUUUAAUAAUUAUUUAGAAAAGAAAUUUUAGUCAAUUUUUUAGAUAUCUAAUUUUUUUUGAUAUAAAUUAAAUUUAUAUAUAAAUUUUAAUUAUAAUAAUUUUUAAGAUAUUAAUUAUAUUUAAUUUAUAUAAAAAAUUUAUGGGAUAAUCUAUAAAUUAUUAUUAAAAUAAAUUUUUUUUUAAUUUGUUAUAAUAAAUUUAAAAUUAAAAAUAUUUUUAAAAUUAAAAUUUUUUUGAGAUAAUUUAAUAAUUUAUAAUAAAAUAUAAAAUAAAUAUAAAAUUUAAAUUUUAAUUUAAUUUUUUAAAAAAAUAUCUUUAAUAAUAAUGGUAAUUGAAAAAUAAUGAUAAUAAUUAGUAUUAUUUUAAUAAAAAAAAAAUAAUAAAAUUUUUAAUAAUAAUUGAAUAAUAUAUAUUUUAAGAAUUAGGCUAAUAAAAUUUAUUAUUUUAUUAAAUAAUAAUAAAAUUAAAUUCACCUGUUUAAUAAAAACAUGGUUUUAAGAUUUUAUAAUUUAAGAUUUAUUCUGCUCAAUGAUUAUUAAAUUAAAUAGCUGCAGUAUUUUGACUGUACUAAGGUAGCAUAAUCAAUUGUUUUUUAAUUGAAAACUAGAAUGAAGGAAUGAAUGAAAUUUAAACUAUUUUAAUUAUAUAAUAAGAAUUUAUAUUUUAAGUUAAAAUUCUUAAAUAAUAUUAUGGGACGAGAAGACCCUAUAGAAUUUUAUAUAAUUUUGAAAAUAAAUUUUUAAAAUUAUAAAAUUUUAAAAUUAUAUUUUAUUGGGAGAAUAAUUAAAUUUAAUUAAUUUUAUUAAUUUAUAGUAAUAACUUAUUUUUUAAUAAAGAUUUUUUUUUAUUUUAAAUUAUAUUAUAAAAACAUUAAUUAAUGAUCUAAUGAUUAAAUAAUAUAAUUAUUAUAUUAUUUUUAAUUAAAAUUAAUUACCUUAGGGAUAACAGCGUUAUAUUUUUUUUAAGUUCUUAUUGGAAAAAAUGAUUGCGACCUCGAUGUUGAAUUAAAAUAAAAAUUAAAUGAAGAAGUUUAAUUAUUUAGUCUGUUCGACUAUUUAAAUUUUACAUGAUUUGAGUUUAGAUCGGUGUAAGCCAGAUCGGUUUUUAUCUAUAAUUAAUUUAAAUAAUUUUGUACGAAAGGACUUUUUAUUUAAAAUUAUUUUAAAUUAAAGGAAUUAAAUUAAUAAAUAUAAAUUAAU
rnacentral:rRNA from 1 species